rnacentral:piRNA from 1 species
CCAGAUGAAAGGGCCCAGGCUCAGG